rnacentral:lncRNA from 1 species
AGUGGAUUAUCGCGUAGGUAUGCAUGUGCGCUCUUUCAACAAGGAUCGAUAAACGAUCGUUUCAAGAUCGGGACUAUUGGAAUCCUUCUUUGCGCGACAUUCGUCCGUGUUUUUUUCUUUUCUUUUCUUUUCUUUUCUUUUUCUUUCUAAAACGCUACAAUAACGAGAGAUAGGAAUGAUUAUCGAUAUUCCCCGAUAAUGAUACGACGGUUUUCAACAGAUGGUGCAGCGUUAUCGCGACUACGUUAUCUCCGCGCCAACUGUUCGUCCUGGCGAAACUGUGAGUCCAGACAUUGGGAAAAUAUCAACAGAGAGUGUCGGAAUCACGAGGGAUUAAUUAUUUCGAAGGUCGUUAAUGAUUCAAUACCUAAUUUCGCUCGAAUUAUCGAGCAAUCGUAACUUUCAUUCUAUCCAAGAAUAACUGUUUAUUUUCGAUUUUAAUUCGACAAAAAAAUAAUCUGAUAUCAUAGAAUAUCAUCCUAGUAAAAUCUUUGAGAAUAUACGGUGAUAACGAGAAAAGUAAAAUCCUAAUUUCCAGGAAUCGUACAAAAACAAAUACUUUCUACGUCAUCGAGAAAAUUUAUAUCACUCUCCCUUCACUUGCCUCCUAAAAAUUGAAAAUAAUCUGACAUCAUAGAAUAUCAUCCUAGUAAAAUCUUUGAGAUUCGAAUGCACGGUGGUAACGAGAAAAGUAAAAUCUUAAUUUCCAAGAACCGUACGAAAACAAAUACGUCACUUUCCACGCCGUCGAGAAAAUUUAUAUCACUCUCCCUUUACUUGCCUCCUAAAAAUUGAUACGAACCACACCUCAACACCUUUCCCCUCGGAAGCGUAAAGAUCGAUCAGACCCUGGCUAAUUUUCCUCCAUUAAUUCACGCGCGCGUGUGCGUGUGACGUUUUCCACGUUAACAGUGUCGUUCCCUUUAUCUCACGGACCAGCUGUUGCCCCGGGGUAAUUGUAACCUUCUCUAGCCGUUACCUCGAGCCUGUUGGCGUAACGAGAAUGUUGUAUACGCAUAACUGUCGUUCACAAUCAUUGACGAGUCGUGCGACGGGCAACGUUGCGUGCGAAUUUCUGACCAUUCGUUUCGACGAUCGUGUAAAUGUAUCGCGUCGGUUACGGAUCGUCGUAUACAAGAAUCAAGCUUCCGUUUUGUUUUUUCGAGGGAAGACUCGCCGCCAUGAACACGGAAAUCGAAAUGGAAUUCUUCGCCAAGUGAAUGGUUCCUCGAACGCAAGUGUUUACGGGACACGGUUGUAAACAAUAUCGACAAGGUUGCACGAUUUAAUCUACGAGUACCUUAAUCGCUUCCUCGUGACACAUCGGGACACGAUACAGCCUGUCACAGGUUGCAGAUUCGCAAUUGUAAAUACAGGCCGAGCAGCGAUUCUCAUAUUGUUAUUGUUGGGUAAAUAAUAUUCGAUUUCGAUGGUGAUUUUGCUUUCGUAAUUUAUAUAAUAUUAGAAAUGGAUUUUUCCAUGUUUCCAAAUUUCUAAAUUUUAUCUUUUAAAUUCAUCUUUUUGAAAAAAAUUCUCGAUUACUAUUUUCCUUAUUGAAUUCGCAUAAAAUGUCUGAAAGAAGACGACUGAAAUGAAUCUUCGAUUCAACAGCUUAUAUUUCAGUUCUUCGAUUUAAACGAGAAUGAUUAAAAUUAUCGAAAUCGAUGAUAAAACGGAAUUUAUCGACGGACUUUCUCGAUCCAUCAAAUAACAUAAGAGGUAUAAUUCGUUUGCAUAAUCGCGCCAAUGGUGCAACGCAUUUUGCAAUCGUCAUUUCUAAGGAAAGCAGAUCUCGAGGUGGGGAGGAUAGAAGGAAAAUCGAAGCUCGACGGUCGCUCGAUUGAACUGUCGUGCAAUCAGGUGAUGGCAUUUGAAAGGCGGCGAUUAAUUCCCCGCUUCGUUAAUCGGCGCGCGAGAAAUCUUCGAAGAACGGGCGGAUUUUCUCCGUCGAUAAAAAUCGGCUCGAAAGCGCGGGUUCUGUCGAUGAUCGCCUCCUCGUGGAACGAGGCCUCGAGGGGCACAGGUGAACUUUCGCGUGAAUCGAUACACGCGACACGAGAUGUGACGAUGCGAUCGUUGGCAGGAACCGGUGAAACGAGGGCAGUCGUUACAUCCAUGACAUUUUUUUUUUUUUUAAAUCAAGAAUAAAGAAAUAUCGAUUGAAGCGAGAAAUGAUGGCGUGAAAUUUAUGGUUUGAAAUUUAUCUGAAACGAUUCGAGUGUUUGGAGCGAGAAACAAUUCUCGGAUGGCUAGUGUAAAUAUCUUGAAAGGUAUAGUUGAUGUAGAAAAAGUGAUUGAAAUGAACAAUUGGAUAAUUUCUUUAAUUGUAUAAAAGAACGAUCUCUUGUAUCUCUUGUAUUUAUCUGAAUAUUGUUAAAAGGAUGAGGCUAAUUAAAACUUUGCUCGAGUAAAAGUCGACCCUAUUUCCAGAAUCUAUUCGUGUAUUAAUCAACGUAAGUAUAGUUUGUUUUACACGUAAGUUUAUCGUGAUGUUAUCAACGUGUAAAGACACGCUAUCCUAUAUCCCAUUCUUCGUUAACUUACGAAUUGUUAAACAAUUAUUCGUACUCCACGAGCUUAGAAAAUUUCGAACAAUUUUAUAUUUUACACGAUAACGGUCACAGUAUUAUAUUAAUAUACGAUUAAUAGAUUCCAGAAAUAGGGUCGACUUUUACUCGAACGAAAUUUUAAUCGGUCUCAUCCUUUUAAACGUCAUAUUAUUCAGAUAAAUGCAAGAGAGAUAUGAUCUUUCGCAUAAUUUCUUCCGCAUAAUUUCGUUAAAGGGAAACUGGACGGUUGUGACAGUUUUCUUAAUUCCUCCGAGUAAAAGAACAUUCCAUAAGAAAGAUCGAGCCGUCCGAACUGUCCGUACCUCUUUAUCUCGGAUGAUCUAAUAACUUAAAAAAAAAAAAAAAGAAAGAAAGAAAAAACUGCCGUCUAAACGGAUCGAACGAUGUACAGUUAUGCGCAAUGCGGAGGAAUGUGUGUCAGUGUCUGUAAAAUUGCGUUCAAUCACGAUAUGCGUACCGGUUAUUACAAAGACGUGCAAAUUCCAUGGAUAUAUUUCCCUCUUUUCCCUCGCUUCUUUGAUCUCUUCCAGAAAUAUAUCAGGUUCCCGUGGAAGUGGGAUCCAUGUGCGCGGAGAACACGCGAUGGAAUUCGCAAGGAAUUCAAACAGGAAUUUUCAUAUAUAUAUAUAUAUACACGAUAUAAAUGAUGUACGAGCAAAUGCUUGGUUUCGAUCCUCGUGGUGAAAAUUCGAUCGAUAUCAUCUCGAUUACAAUAUUAACUGGAGAUUGCAUCCGUUAAUGAUCAAUGAGAAACGUUAUUAUAUCGAGGAUUAUUAAUUAUUGCACGGUUACGUCGAAUGCUCGAUCGAAAUCUGCGCAUCGUUCACCGAGAGAGUUUCUCAAGAGAUCGGCUCUCAAGAGCGGUCGAAGAAAGCAGCUCGAUCGAGGCAUGCCUUUCGAUUAUGCAUCGUGCGUGCGCAAUUAUGACAUUAACCUUAGAAGAGAAACUCUCGGCGGAAUGGAGAUUCUAAUUUCGAUCGGCGUCGGUAGUGGCGCGAACCGUUUCAUUUCGCUUGAUUUAUAUUUAGAUAGAACGAUGUAUGGAGCGAUGUGAGAGCAGCUACGAAUCGAAGUAUUAAAUGAAUAGGAUCUGCUCGCACCAGAAUUGCUGCGCAUCGCAUCUCUGCUAGGAAUUAAAAGGGCAAUUUAUAUAUGCGUUGAAAACAACGCAUAUAAAACGACGCAGGUAGAUGUCAACGUUUGCACGUGUUGUGACGAUGCCCUUCUUCGAAAGUAGCUUCGUUUGAGGUUUCGCUUCGUUUGUGAACGAAACUCGUGGAUCGACAGAGAUUUAACGAAUUUCUAUUCGAUUAAACGAAUCGAUCGAAGUUUCUUAAAUGGAGCUCUCAUUAAUGGAGUAAUUGUUCCUCGAAGGAAACUUCUAUCUCCUGUCAAUAUCGCGUCUUUUGAAACGAAACCUGAUGCUCUUAUCGCGUUUCUUCAUCGUUACGAACGAUCGAUAUACGAUCUUGUAGAAAGUUACGAAUAUCGUUCAACUAUUUCUAUUUAUCCACGUCGAAAAAUU